AUAGAAAUGGGCCCAUCCAGUGUCUGCCCAGCCGCUGGCCCUCUGAUGGGCUCGAUUUCCCAGCGGCCUCACCGUCUUGGGCACUGAAGAGCCGGCCCUGACAACGAGGCUCGUCCCAGGCACAGCAGCAGAAAUUUAGCAAGGAAUGAGACAGAUAUGGUCCCUGUCUUCCUGGGAGCUUCCAAUCCAGAAGAGGAAACUGGGCCCGGAGAGGGCGAUGCGUCUCACACCAGCCACUUCUGCUCCAGGCCAUCCCUUUCCGGCUGUUCCUGCUGCUUCAAAGCACGGGGCGUGGAGAUGAGAGGAGCGCAGCUCGAACAAUAGCCAACUUGCCUAAGACCC